CAGUCGACGGUGAAGAGGAGCUUGCUCCUUGGAUCAGUGGCGAACGGGUGAGUAACACGUGAGCAAUCUGCCCUUGACUCUGGGAUAACUGCGGGAAACUGUAGCUAAUACCGGAUAUUACCUUGGAAGGCAUCUUCUGGGGUGGAAAGAAUUUUGGUCAAGGAUGAGCUCGCGGCCUAUCAGCUAGUUGGUGAGGUAAUGGCUCACCAAGGCGACGACGGGUAGCCGGCCUGAGAGGGUGACCGGCCACACUGGGACUGAGACACGGCCCAGACUCCUACGGGAGGCAGCAGUGGGGAAUAUUGCACAAUGGGCGCAAGCCUGAUGCAGCAACGCCGCGUGAGGGACGACGGCCUUCGGGUUGUAAACCUCUUUUAGUAGGGAAGAAGCGACUGGGUUUUCCUGGGAGUGACGGUACCUGCAGAGAAAGCACCGGCUAACUACGUGCCAGCAGCCGCGGUAAUACGUAGGGUGCAAGCGUUGUCCGGAAUUAUUGGGCGUAAAGAGCUCGUAGGCGGUUUGUCGCGUCUGCUGUGAAAACCCGAGGCUCAACCUCGGGCCUGCAGUGGGUACGGGCAGACUAGAGUGCGGUAGGGGAGAUUGGAAUUCCUGGUGUAGCGGUGGAAUGCGCAGAUAUCAGGAGGAACACCAAUGGCGAAGGCAGAUCUCUGGGCCGUAACUGACGCUGAGGAGCGAAAGCAUGGGGAGC
rnacentral:rRNA from 1 species